UAGGGAAUCUUCCUCAAUGGACGAAAGUCUGAUGGAGCAACGCCGCGUGAGUGAAGAAGGGUUUCGGCUCGUAAAACUCUGUUGUUAAAGAAGAACAUAUCUGAGAGUAACUGUUCAGGUAUUGACGGUAUUUAACCAGAAAGCCACGGCUAACUACGUGCCAG
rnacentral:rRNA from 1 species